GUACACGCUUCGGGGGCACAUAGACUAACAUCGGGAUGAUGCAGAGAUUGGCACGGCCCCUGCGCAAGGGUAACACUCAAAUCUGUGAAGCGUUUCAUUUUUUA